UACGGGGGGGGCAAGCGUUGUUCGGAAUUACUGGGCGUAAAGGGCUCGUAGGCGGCCAACUAAGUCAGACGUGAAAUCCCUCGGCUUAACCGGGGAACUGCGUCUGAUACUGGAUGGCUUGAGGGUAGGAGAGGGAUGCGGAAUUCCAGGUGUAGCGGUGAAAUGCGUAGAUAUCGAGAGGAACACCAGUGGCGAAGGCGAGUCCCUGGACAACUCCUGACGCUGAGGCACGAAAGCUAGGGGAGCAAACGGG
rnacentral:rRNA from 1 species